rnacentral:misc_RNA from 1 species
UCCGGUUUAUCACCGGCAGUCCCCCUAGAGUUCCCGGCCGAACCGCUGGCAACUAAGGGUAAGGGUUGCGCUCGUUGCGGGACUUAACCCAACAUCUCACGACACGAGCUGACGACAACCAUGCACCACCUGUGAAGCGCCCUUGCGGACCUGACAUCUCUGCCAGUUUUCGCCUCAUGUCAAGCCUUGGUAAGGUUCUUCGCGUUGCAUCGAAUUAAUCCGCAUGCUCCGCCGCUUGUGCGGGCCCCCGUCAAUUCCUUUGAGUUUUAGCCUUGCGGCCGUACUCCCCAGGCGGGGUGCUUAAUGCGUUAGCUUCGGCACGGAGGGAGUCGACACCCCCCACACCUAGCACCCAUCGUUUACAGCGUGGACUAC